UCCCUGGUGGCUCAGAUGGCAAAGAGUCUGCCUUCAGUGCCGGAGACCCAGGUUCAAUCCCUGGUCAGGAAG
rnacentral:tRNA from 1 species